ensembl:lncRNA
UGCGCCGUGUGUCUGUUGGGCAUCCCCAUGGUGAUGGCACCCAUAAAGCCAUGUUUACAGGCCAGCCCUGCCUGUCACAUGGCAGGGCCCUGUAUUUAAGGGGUGCCCAAGGCCGGCCCUGACAGCCUGUGUGCUGCGUGAGGACGACGCCGGGGCUGCAGUGCUGUCGGUGCGGUCAGUUCUGCAGCUCGGGGCCGUGAGAAGAUGUCAUCCCCACACCCAGGGCCUCAUGGAGGGCCGCCGCCGCCACAUCCCGGGCCUGGGCACCCACCCGCACCGCACAGUCCUCCAGGGCAUCACCACCCACCCGGCCAUCACCCGCCCGGCCAUCACCCGCCCGGCCAUCACCCACCCGGCCAUCACCCACCCGGGCACCACCCGCCGGGCCCCCACCCCCACGGCCACCCCCACUAGGCGCUGAGCCCUGGCGGCGGCCGCCCCUGGCACGGGUCCGUCUCUGUCCAUCGGCUACCCCGCGGCGGCGCUGCCGCCGGGGUCUCCCUCCGCCCACGUGUGGCAGCACCUCUGCCGGAAACAGAAGCUUGGGCUUGGGUUGAGGUCAGCAAUAAAAGUCCGCUCGGGGCCUCUGUGGUCGCUGUGUCUGGCGGUGGGGCUCCGCGCCGUGCCCCUCCACGGCCGUGCGGGCAGUAGCGCCCCGCAGGGGACUGCCCCGCUGCUCCGGGCGCGAGGAGACGGACGGAGCGACGGGGUUACGGCUCCCGACGCACGGACAGCCCCUCCGCGAGGCUCUGCGAGGGCACGGCCCGCGACGGGCGCCGUCCCCUCGGUUCUACGCACGGAACGGAGCGGCCGUGCAGCCCCUGCGCUCUGCGGAGCCCCCGGC